GUGGAUUAGAUACCCUAGUAGUCCACGCCGUAAACGAUGGGCACUAGGUGUAGGAGGUAUUGACCCCUUCUGUGCCGAAGCUAACGCAUUAAGUGCCCCGCCUGUGGAGUACGGCCGCAAGGUUAAAACUCAAAGGAAUUGACGGGGGCCCGCACAAGCGGUGGAGCAUGUGGUUCAAUUCGACGCAACGCGAAGAACCUUACCUGGGCUUGACAUCCGCUGACCGUCCUAGAAAUAGGAUCUUCCCCGCAAGGGGACAGCGAGACAGGUGCUGCAC
rnacentral:rRNA from 1 species